CCUACGGGAGGCUGCAGUGAGGAAUAUUGGUCAAUGGGAGAGAUCCUGAACCAGCCAAGCCGCGUGAGGGAAGACGGCCCUAUGGGUUGUAAACCUCUUUUGUCGGAGAACAAAACCCGGGACGUGUCCCGUACUGCGUGUACCCGAAGAAAAAGCAUCGGCUAACUCCGUGCCAGCAGCCGCGGUACUACGGAGGAUGCGAGCGUUAUCCGGAUUUAUUGGGUUUAAAGGGGGCGUAGGCGGUUCGUUAAGUCAGCGGUAAAAUUGCGGGGCUCAACCCCGUCGAGCCGUUGAAACUGGCAGACUGGAGUGAGCUAGAGGUAAGCGGAAUGCGCGGUGUAGCGGUGAAAUGCAUAGAUAUCGCGCAGAACUCCGAUUGCGAAGGCAGCGUACCGGCGCCAGACUGACGCUGAGGCACGAAAGCGUGGGGAUCAAACAGGAUUAGAUACCCGGGUAGUC
rnacentral:rRNA from 1 species